AACGAACGCUGGCGGCAUGCCUAACACAUGCAAGUCGAACGAGACCUUCGGGUCUAGUGGCGCACGGGUGCGUAACGCGUGGGAAUCUGCCCUUGGGUUCGGAAUAACAGUUAGAAAUGACUGCCAAUACCGGAUAAUGUCUUCGGACCAAAGAUUUAUCGCCCAGGGAUGAGCCCCGCGUAGGAUUAGCUAGUUGGUGAGGUAAAGGCUCACCAAGGCGACGAUCCUUAGCUGGUCUGAGAGGAUGAUCAGCCACACUGGGACUGAGACACGGCCCAGACUCCUACGGGAGGCAGCAGUGGGGAAUAUUGGACAAUGGGCGAAAGCCUGAUCCAGCAAUGCCGCGUGAGUGAUGAAGGCCUUAGGGUUGUAAAGCUCUUUUACCCGGGAUGAUAAUGACAGUACCGGGAGAAUAAGCCCCCGGCUAACUCCGUGCCAGCAGCCGCGGUAA
rnacentral:rRNA from 1 species